ACAGCAGUCGCCGCGGGAAUACGUAGGUGGCAAGCGUUGUCCGGAAUUAUUGGGCGUAAAGGGCUCGCAGGCGGUUUCUUAAGUCUGAUGUGAAAGCCCCCGGCUCAACCGGGGAGGGUCAUUGGAAACUGGGAAACUUGAGUGCAGAAGAGGAGAGUGGAAUUCCACGUGUAGCGGUGAAAUGCGUAGAGAUGUGGAGGAACACCAAUGGCGAAGGCGACUCUCUGGUCUGUAACUGACGCUGAGGAGCGAAAGCGUGGGGAGCGAACAGGAUUAGAUACCCCAGUAGUCCCUGUCUCUUAUAC
rnacentral:rRNA from 1 species